rnacentral:rRNA from 1 species
AGCGAACGCUGGCGGCAGGCCUAAUACAUGCAAGUCGAGCGCACCUUCGGGUGAGCGGCGGACGGGUGAGUAACGCGUGGGAAUGUGCCCUUUGGUACGGAACAACUGAGGGAAACUUCAGCUAAUACCGUAUGUGCCCUUCGGGGAAAGAUUUAUCGCCAUUGGAGCAGCCCGCGUUGGUAUUAGGUAGUUGGUGAGGUAAAGGCUCACCAAGCCGACGAUCCAUAGCUGGUCNGAGAGGAUGAUCAGCCACACUGGGACUGAGACACGGCCCAGACUCCUACGGGAGGCAGCAGUUAGGAAUCUUGCGCAAUGGGCGAAAGCCUGACGCAGCCAUGCCGCGUGAAUGAU